rnacentral:rRNA from 1 species
AGAGUUUGAUCCUGGCUCAGGAUGAACGCUGGCUACACGCUUAACACAUGCAAGUCGAGGGGCAACAAGGACUUAGCUUGCUAAAGCCGAUGGCGACCGGCGCAUGGGUGAUUAACACCUAUCCUACCUGACGGCUACUCUUGGACUGCCUUAUGAAAGGAAGAUUAAUACAAGAUGGCAUCAUGAGUUCGCAUGUUCACAUGAUUAAAGGUAUUCCGGUAGACGAUGGGGAUGCGUUCCAUUAGAUAGGAGGCCGGGUCACCGCCCACCUAAUCUUCGAUGGAUAGGGUUUAUGAGAGGAAGGUCCCCCACAUUGGAAAUGAGACACGGUCCAAACUCGUCCGGGAGGCAGCUGUGAGGAAUAUUGGUCAAUGGGCGCAGGCCUGAACCAACCAAGUCGCGUGAAGGAUGACUGCCGUAUGGGUUGUAAACUUUUUUUAUAAAGGAAUUAAGUCGGGUAUGUAUACCUGUUUGCAUGUACUUUAUGAAUAUGCGAUCGGCUAACUCCGUGCCAGCAGCCGCGGUAAUACGGAGGAUCCGAGCGUUAUCGAGGAUUUAUUGGGUUUAGAGAGGGAGAGUAGAUGGAUGUUUGUAGUCAGUUGUGAUAAGUUUGGGUGCUCACCCUGUAAAAUCGUCAUGUUGAUUGCUGGAUAUCUUGAGUGCAGUGGAGGCAGGCGGAAUUCGUGGUGUAGCGGUGAAAUGCUUAGAUAUCACGAACAACUCCGAUUGCGAAGGCAGCCUGCUAAGUUGCAACUGACAUGGAGGCUCGAGAAGUGUGGGUAUCACACGAGGAUUAGAUACCCUGGUAGUCCACACGGUAAACGAUGAAUACUCGCGGUGUGUGAUAUCACAGCAAGCGGCCAAGCGAAAGCGUUAAGUAUUCCACUUGGGGAGUACGCCGGCAACGGUGAAAACUCAAAAGGAAUUGACGGGGGCCCGCCCAAGCCGAGGAACAUGUGGUUUAAUUUGAUGAUACGCGAGGAACCUUACCCGGGUUUGAAUAGCAACUGAAUGAUGUGGAGACACGUCAGCCGCCAGUCAGUUGUGAAGGUGACGCAUGGUUGUCGUCAGUUCUCACCGUGAGGUGUCGGAUUAAGUGCCAUAUCGAGCGCAACCCUCAUCCAUAGUUACCAUCAGGUUAUCAUGGGCACUCUGUCGAGACUGCCGUCGUAAGAUGUGAGGAAGGUGGGGAUGACGUCAAAUCAUCAUGCCCCUUAUGAUCUGGGCGACACACGUGCUACAAUGGCGGUCACCGAGUGAGGCGAACCCGCGAGGGGGAGCCAACCACAAAAAGGCCGUCCCAGUUCGGACUGCAGUCUGCAACCCGCCUACACGAAGCUGGAAUCGCUAGUAAUCGCGAAUCAGCAUGUCGCGGUGAAUACGUUCCCGGGUCUUGCACUCACCGCCCGUCAAG